CAAUGUUAUUAACAAAGCGUUACAAAGUAAUUGUAAUAAAAUAUGACCGACUGGACCAUGCACUUUGGCUGAACCCAGAUUACUAUGUAACAAACUCUAGCAGAUGUGAUCCCGGUGGGCCGAGCCUCGGAUAUUCAGACCUUACACUUUACAUCUUUGGCUAAAAAAUACAUGAAUAUCAGUUUUGAAGCAGAGAAACAACUGUGUUGUUGAUACACUGAAAUAAAAUUUGUAGAGAAUUCCAAACUGAAUUACAAAAUGUAAAGGGACACUGUAGGCACUAUAACCAUAUUAUCUAAUUGAUGUGCUUAUAGUACCUGGGGUCCCUUGGUACUUGGUACAGAGAUAUUCACUAAUGAGAACUGACAGUAAUGCAAAGUGAAUUCAAAUAUAUAACCAUGGCUCCAAUACAUCACCCCAAUCAUAGUGUUAAUAUAUAACCAUGGCUCCAAUACAUCACCCAAACUAGUCCUAAUAUAUAACCAUGGCUCCAAUACAUCACCCCAACCAUAGUUCUAAUAUAUAACCAUGGCUCCAAUACAUCACCCAAACUAGUCCUAAUAUAUAACCAUGGCUCUAAUACAUUGCCCCAACCAUAGUCCUAAUAUAUAACUAUGGCUCCAAUACAUCACCCCAACCAUAGUCCUAAUAUAUAACCAUGGCUCCAAUACAUAACCCCAACCAUAGUCCUAAUAUAUAACCAUGGCUCCAAUACAUCACCCCAACCAUAGUCCUAAUAUAUAACCAUGGCUCCAAUACAUCACUGUAACCAUAGCCCUAAUAUAUAACCAUGGCUCCAAUACAUAACCCCAACCAUAGUCCUAAUAUAUAACCAUGGCUCCAAUACAUUGCCCCAACCAUAGUCCUAAUAUAUAACCAUGGCUCCAAUACAUAACCCCAAGCAUAGUCGUAAUAUAUAACCAUGGCUCCAAUACAUAACCCCAACCAUAGUCCUAAUAUAUAACCAUGGCUCCAAUACAUCACCCCAACCAUAGUCCU